AUUUUUGAACAUUGUGAGUUGGAAGCCUUCCCUGACCUCCCAGACAAAGAUACGCAAGACUGGAGUUUGGAUGGGAGUUCUGGGCUGGAGGAGAACAUUUUACAAUAAUAAUUUUAAAAAGACUCCAUGAAAUGACUGAUCAUUCCCAUGUAGCAGAUGAGGAAGAGGAGGCCGAGAGACAACAUAGCAUCCAAGCUCCUACCCACUGUGUCACACUGCCCCCUGCUGAGCACCUACUAAGUGCCAGGCUCUAGAAAAGAGUGGUGUUUGAGACAUUCCAAGGAGCUUCUGUGUGCGUCACGUAAGUGCAUGGAUUUGUGUGUCUCCCAUAGAAAACUGGAGGAGGAGAGGCCAAGAGAUUUGGAGACUGAGCUGCAGAGAUGUUAAGAAACUGUCUUUACAUAACACAACUAUUAAGAAGAAGAAAGAAGAGGAGGAGGAAACGGAGGAGAACUGAGAAGAGAUAUUUCAUCACAGGUUCGUCUGUACCUCUCAACCACAUGGGUAGAGGAAAAUCCAAAUUCAAUAUGGAAGAGGGGGAAAGGAGAGGAUGCGGAGUUGCAGAAAGAUUUGGGCUAGAGACCCGUCUCCAACAUUCUGGAGUCUGUGCUCAUGCCUGCGAACAUCAGGAUGUUAAUACUUACUUCUUAGCAAUGUUUCGUGAAUUAAAUGCUCUGAUUUUUAUAGGGUGUCUGAAGCAGUACCCAGAACACGCUGUGCCAAGAAUAAAUGUUUAUUAAUGCAAGAGGAAGGAAGGGAUGGGUAUUAGUCUUAAAUUGCUGCCUAACAAAUUACUACAAGCUUGAAUGCCUUAGAAUAAGACUCAUUUUAUUUCAUUGAAGUUCUGUUAGUUCAGAAGUCCGGGUGGGCUUGACUGGUUUCUCUGCUGAGCAUCUCACAGAGCUAGAGUCAACAUGUCAGCUGGGCCGGGUUCUUAUCUGGAGACUCUGGGAAUGAAACCACUUCCAAGUUACUUCAGGGUGGUUCUAUGCAAGAUCCUGUUUUUUCUACUUAAUGCUCAUAACAACAUAUGCUAAUUCAUAUCCUCUUUUAUAGAUGAAGAAAUUCUUCAGUCAUUGAACAACUUUCUCAAGGUCUCAGUGUUAGUAAGUCUAAUUGAUGACUUCAAAUUUUCAUUUGAAAGUAAGAGAAAACCCAAAUUGAAUGUAUAUAGAAGACAGUAAUUAAAGAGUUUUCUUUCACGGAAAAUUAUGUGAUCAUUAGCAAGCUUAUCAGAGACAACUGUCCAGCAUAUUAACUUUGUUUCUGUAUUUCCACUUGUCUUCUCUGAAUACUUUGACGACCUCAGGUCUUAAGAUUUUAUGAGCAACAAGCUCUAAAGUUCCCUGAGUCCUUCCAAAAGUGUAGAAAGGAACAUACUGGGUAGAAACCAGGCUCUUUACCCUGCCUUUGGAUUGCUAUGCAAGCAUAAGUUUCCAAUGCCAGCUGAAAGUUGCCCAUUUGUAUGUAACUUUAUUUUCUAGUUUUCCAGUUUGGAAGCUAUAGUUCUAGGGCUUAAAUAUUGGAAAUUCGGGAAUAUGCCAAAGUUUUAAGGAAGAUGUUCUGAGAAAAUUCAAGUGAAUGUUCAUUUGCUCACCUACUCCACUACAGAUUUAACCUGAGUUCCAGGUGAUUUGUCUGUGACCACCAUUGUUAUAUCCUUGGUCCUCACUGAGUUGAGCAUCCUAUGAGAUUAUGGCCCUAUACUUUGGCCCCAUCCCUAUAAGGUAGGACCAGGAAAGACUUAACAAUUCAAAAAGAUGUCCCUACCAAAGGAUUUCCCUAAAAAAAAACCAAAAAUGAUGGAUGGUGUAGUCAAUUAUGUUUGGUUCUCUGUAUUCUACCUUGGACCAUUUAAUACAACCUAUGCUCAGAAUUAAAUUUGGUAUGAAACUUGGGGUCUCUUUAAACUAUUUAUUUGGUUAACCUUCUGAUCUCUGUUUUAUUCUUAUUUCUCAGUGGAAAUUCUUUUUUGAGAAAUCCUGACCUCUUUUGGAGAACUAAAAGGGAAAUGGAUUUUUCCCCCUAUUAAGUCAGGAUAGACAGGGAAGCAAUGUGACCCUAGAUCAUUAAUGCGGGAGUUCUGGCUGUUCUUGGGAGUAGGCCAGUAGCCCAGAAGAGAAGCCAGAUGGGGUCAGUGACCUCAGACUGACAGAUGUGGCAGUGGAGGAUUCCAGGAAGAAAGAUCAGAGGCUGGCCAGGAAUGAGAGCCACUUGCCCAGAUGCUAAACCCCAGGGGGGUGAAGGUAAAGACUUGGGUAGUGUUUUGGCUGAGUCAUGGGAUAAACUGGUCAGCAGCUGGGGUCAAGUUCAGGACAGCAAAACGCUGCCCAGGGAACUUGAGAAAAGAGAAAGAGGGCAGGGAAGAAGGUGCUUGUGGGACCCUGGGGAGUUAGUUGUAUCAUCUAUAUAAUGAUUUUGUUUAAGUCUUCAUGCAUAUCUAAAUGCGACAAUACAUCCAUCUCUCGAGAGUCAAGGAUAAUGGGGCAGCUUAAAGAUUGUGUAUGGAUCACAGAGAAACAAAAAAAGAAGAGCAGAGAAAAUAAGUUGGAACUCUCUAUGAAGUUUGCUGCUUUCUUUUUCAACUGUGUCACCACAAUGUCAAGCAUCAUCUGAGUAAUUUUCUGACCCAAAAGGAAAAGAUGGUGCCUGGUGUGACUCAGUCCUCUACCUCUGAGACAGCCAACACUCUCCCACUUGAGAGAGGAGAGGAUGGGAGACUUCACUCUGAAGACUUUCUCAGCUUAUAAAAGGAGUCUUGGGCCAGUUCUUCUUUUCUGACAACUUUUACGAAACGCCUUUAUCCAUGCUAAUUUUUUAAAGACCCACUUAAACUGUAAUCCACUUAAAGUUUAUUGAACAACACAUCCUAUUAUGUAGGCAUAAUUUCUUCUUUAAAACAGUGUUCUUGCUUCAAAUGUUUUCAUGAUAACACCAAGUAAAUAAGUAA